AGACCCGAAACCCGGUGAUCUAGCCAUGGGCAGGUUGAAGGUUGGGUAACACUAACUGGAGGACCGAACCGACUAAUGUUGAAAAAUUAGCGGAUGACCUGUGGCUGGGGGUGAAAGGCCAAUCAAACCGGGAGAUAGCUGGUUCUCCCCGAAAGCUAUUUAGGUAGCGCCUCGUGAAUUCAUCUCCGGGGGUAGAGCACUGUUUCGGCUAGGGGGCCAUCCCGGCUUACCAACCCGAUGCAAACUGCGAAUACCGGAGAAUGUUAUCACGGGAGACACACGGCGGGUGCUAACGUCCGUCGUGAAGAGGGAAACAACCCAGACCGCCAGCUAAGGUCCCAAAGUCAUGGUUAAGUGGGAAACGAUGUGGGAAGGCCCAGACAGCCAGGAUGUUGGCUUAGAAGCAGCCAUCAUUUAAAGAAAGCGUAAUAGCUCACUGGUCGAGUCGGCCUGCGCGGAAGAUGUAACGGGGCUAAACCAUGCACCGAAGCUGCGGCAGCGAACGUAUCACCCAAGACAACUUUACGGAGUUGACGAUUGACGGAGCGAAGCGACGUCAAAGCGUUCAUUAAAGUCGAGUUGGCUUAGGGAUACGUUCGUUGGGUAGGGGAGCGUUCU
rnacentral:rRNA from 2 species